rnacentral:misc_RNA from 1 species
CAACCCUCAAGCUUUGCUUGGUAUUGGACAUUGCCAGUUUCUGGCAGGUCUUAAAAUCAGUGGCGGUGCCAUUUGGCUUCAAGCGUAGUAAUUCUUCUCGCUUUGGAGAUCCAGGUGGUUACUUGCCAAUAACCCCCAAUUUUUUCAGG